AUUGAACGCUGGCGGCAUGCUUUACACAUGCAAGUCGAACGGUAACAGGCCUUCGGGUGCUGACGAGUGGCGAACGGGUGAGUAAUGCAUCGGAACGUAACCAGAGGUGGGGGAUAACGCAGCGAAAGCUGUGCUAAUACCGCAUGUGAUCUGAGGAUGAAAGCGGGGGACCGAGCAGCAAUGUUUGGCCUCGCGCCUUUGGAGCGGCCGAUGUCGGAUUAGCUAGUUGGUGGGGUAAAGGCCUACCAAGGCGACGAUCCGUAGCUGGUCUGAGAGGACGACCAGCCACACUGGGACUGAGACACGGCCCAGACUCCUACGGGAGGCAGCAGUGGGGAAUUUUGGACAAUGGGCGCAAGCCUGAUCCAGCAACGCCGCGUGCGGGAAGAAGGCCUUCGGGUUGUAAACCGCUUUUGGCAGGAACGAAACGGUGUCCGCUAAUACCGGGCGCUAAUGACGGUACCUGCAGAAUAAGCACCGGCUAACUACGUG
rnacentral:rRNA from 1 species